rnacentral:rRNA from 1 species
GAUGAACGCUGGCGGCGUGCCUAAUACAUGCAAGUCGAGCGAACAGACGAGGAGCUUGCUCCUCUGACGUUAGCGGCGGACGGGUGAGUAACACGUGGAUAACCUCCCUAUAAGACUGGGAUAACUUCGGGAAACCGGAGCUAAUACCGGAUAAUAUAUUGAACCGCAUGGUUCAAUAGUGAAAGACGGUUUUGCUGUCACUUAUAGAUGGAUCCGCGCCGCAUUAGCUAGUUGGUAAGGUAACGGCUUACCAAGGCAACGAUGCGUAGCCGACCUGAGAGGGUGAUCGGCCACACGGGAACUGAGACACGGUCCAGACGCCUACGGGAGGCAGCAGUAGGGAAUCUUCCGCAAUGGGCGAAAGCCUGACGGAGCAACGCCGCGUGAGUGAUGAAGGUCUUCGGAUCGUAAAACUCUGUUAUGAGGGAAGAACAAAUGUGUAAGUAACUAUGCACGUCUUGACGGUACCUAAUCAGAAAGCCACGGCUAACUACGUG